CGAACCAGGGGAACUGAAACAUCUAAGUACCCUGAGGAAAAGAAAUCAACCGAGAUUCCCUUAGUAGUGGCGAGCGAACGGGGAUUAGCCCUUAAGCUUCAUUGAUUUUAGCGGAACGCUCUGGAAAGUGCGGCCAUAGUGGGUGAUAGCCCCGUACGCGAAAGGAUCUUUGAAGUGAAAUCGAGUAGGACGGAGCACGAGAAACUUUGUCUGAACAUGGGGGGACCAUCCUCCAAGGCUAAAUACUACUGACUGACCGAUAGUGAACCAGUACCGUGAGGGAAAGGCGAAAAGAACCCCGGAGAGGGGAGUGAAAUAGAACCUGAAACCGUAUGCGUACAAGCAGUGGGAGCCUACUUGUUAGGUGACUGCGUACCUUUUGUAUAAUGGGUCAGCGACUUAUAUUCAGUGGCAAGCUUAACCGUAUAGGGUAGGCGUAGCGAAAGCGAGUCUUAAUAGGGCGUUUAGUCGCUGGGUAUAGACCCGAAACCGGGCGAUCUAUCCAUGAGCAGGUUGAAGGUUAGGUAACACUGACUGGAGGACCGAACCCACUCCCGUUGAAAAGGUAGGGGAUGACUUGUGGAUCGGAGUGAAAGGCUAAUCAAGCUCGGAGAUAGCUGGUUCUCCUCGAAAGCUAUUUAGGUAGCGCCUCAUGUAUCACUCUGGGGGGUAGAGCACUGUUUCGGCUAGGGGGUCAUCCCGACUUACCAAACCGAUGCAAACUCCGAAUACCCAGAAGUGCCGAGCAUGGGAGACACACGGCGGGUGCUAACGUCCGUCGUGAAAAGGGAAACAACCCAGACCGCCAGCUAAGGUCCCAAAGUUGUGGUUAAGUGGUAAACGAUGUGGGAAGGCUUAGACAGCUAGGAGGUUGGCUUAGAAGCAGCCAUCCUUUAAAGAAAGCGUAAUAGCUCACUAGUCGAGUCGGCCUGCGCGGAAGAUGUAACGGGGCUCAAACCACACACCGAAGCUGCGGGUGUCACGUAAGUGACGCGGUAGAGGAGCGUUCUGUAAGCCUGUGAAGGUGAGUUGAGAAGCUUGCUGGAGGUAUCAGAAGUGCGAAUGCUGACAUGAGUAACGACAAUGGGUGUGAAAAACACCCACGCCGAAAGACCAAGGGUUCCUGCGCAACGUUAAUCGACGCAGGGUUAGUCGGUUCCUAAGGCGAGGCUGAAAAGCGUAGUCGAUGGGAAACAGGUUAAUAUUCCUGUACUUCUGGUUACUGCGAUGGAGGGACGGAGAAGGCUAGGCCAGCUUGGCGUUGGUUGUCCAAGUUUAAGGUGGUAGGCUGAAAUCUUAGGUAAAUCCGGGGUUUCAAGGCCGAGAGCUGAUGACGAGUCGUCUUUUAGAUGACGAAGUGGUUGAUGCCAUGCUUCCAAGAAAAGCUUCUAAGCUUCAGGUAACCAGGAACCGUACCCCAAACCGACACAGGUGGUCGGGUAGAGAAUACCAAGGCGCUUGAGAGAACUCGGGUGAAGGAACUAGGCAAAAUGGCACCGUAACUUCGGGAGAAGGUGCGCCGGCUAGGGUGAAGGAUUUACUCCGUAAGCUCUGGCUGGUCGAAGAUACCAGGCCGCUGCGACUGUUUAUUAAAAACACAGCACUCUGCAAACACGAAAGUGGACGUAUAGGGUGUGACGCCUGCCCGGUGCCGGAAGGUUAAUUGAUGGGGUUAGCGCAAGCGAAGCUCUUGAUCGAAGCCCCGGUAAACGGCGGCCGUAACUAUAACGGUCCUAAGGUAGCGAAAUUCCUUGUCGGGUAAGUUCCGACCUGCACGAAUGGCGUAACGAUGGCGGCGCUGUCUCCACCCGAGACUCAGUGAAAUUGAAAUCGCUGUGAAGAUGCAGUGUAUCCGCGGCUAGACGGAAAGACCCCGUGAACCUUUACUGUAGCUUUGCACUGGACUUUGAGCCUGCUUGUGUAGGAUAGGUGGGAGGCUUUGAAGCGUGGACGCCAGUUCGCGUGGAGCCAUCCUUGAAAUACCACCCUGGCAUGCUUGAGGUUCUAACUCUGGUCCGUGAUCCGGAUCGAGGACAGUGUAUGGUGGGCAGUUUGACUGGGGCGGUCUCCUCCUAAAGAGUAACGGAGGAGUACGAAGGUGCGCUCAGACCGGUCGGAAAUCGGUCGCAGAGUAUAAAGGCAAAAGCGCGCUUGACUGCGAGACAGACACGUCGAGCAGGUACGAAAGUAGGUCUUAGUGAUCCGGUGGUUCUGUAUGGAAGGGCCAUCGCUCAACGGAUAAAAGGUACUCCGGGGAUAACAGGCUGAUACCGCCCAAGAGUUCAUAUCGACGGCGGUGUUUGGCACCUCGAUGUCGGCUCAUCACAUCCUGGGGCUGAAGCCGGUCCCAAGGGUAUGGCUGUUCGCCAUUUAAAGUGGUACGCGAGCUGGGUUUAGAACGUCGUGAGACAGUUCGGUCCCUAUCUGCCGUGGACGUUUGAGAUUUGAGAGGGGCUGCUCCUAGUACGAGAGGACCGGAGUGGACGAACCUCUGGUGUUCCGGUUGUCACGCCAGUGGCAUUGCCGGGUAGCUAUGUUCGGAAAAGAUAACCGCUGAAAGCAUCUAAGCGGGAAACUUGCCUCAAGAUGAGAUCUCACUGGGAACUUGAUUCCCCUGAAGGGCCGUCGAAGACUACGACGUUGAUAGGCUGGGUGUGUAAGCGUUGUGAGGCGUUGAGCUAACCAGUACUAAUUGCCCGUGAGGCUUGACCAU
rnacentral:rRNA from 1 species